UUGUCUAUAUUAUGCAAACAUCAGACUUUUUCACUGAGAUAAUCAAGCUACAGAAGCUCUUUUGAUUCCCUUGCAAAUAUAGCUGUACUGGUGGUCACAGCGGCUUGCAUGUGAGCUCAGAGAUACCACUUAAACUCAGUUGUGGAAUGGAAAAAAGACCAACUGGAUCCUGAAGCACUACGUCUACAGCCUAGCCUGCACACAGACAUGGUUCAUUCACGUGAACUGCUCAUCUCAUGUUCACCUUCAGAAAUAAACAAGAACACCCAAUUCAUGCAUUAUAUCAACUGUAAUUUGUAAACCCGUUCUGCCACAGCUUGAGGUUAAAACAAGAUAAUGGAAGGUAUGGCAGAUGGGCUAGUGUAAAAUAAACAUUAUUUGUGGUUAAACCACCCAACAACAGUUGGUUACCUGCCCAAAUGGCUGGUCAAGCACACAUACUUGGAAGAGCCAAACAGUUCACAGCACUUGGCUUGUGGCUAGUAUUGAUCUCCUGCCCAGUUUACAGUCAAAUCAGCUGAAAAAAAUUCACCAAAAACAUGAAUAGAUGCCAUUUUUUUGUUCAGGUAACAUUAAACGGGUAGUGGAAAUUAUCCUUAAAGUGAUAUCGCCUAAAAUGUCUUUUUAAAACAGGCAACCUGCUAGGGAUCUCUCAGCAUACAGGCCCACAAAUAGUCGUAAAGGUCGGCUACUCUUGUAGACUGAAAUCUGAUCUGAGAAGGUCAGUAAAUGUCCAGGACCUCAACACACCUUCUCAGGAACAUUUAAGAUGCUUAAGGGCAGAAACAAGACAAAAAUCCCAUUGCACCAGCGGGAGAGGAACUCAGCACCGCCUGGUCGUUGAGAGUGGUGUGAAGCAGCCAGGGGAGGUCAUUACAUCACUGACUGGGGAGUUUAACUUUUACUGCUGGUGCUACCUGAUAAAGCAUAUCUGCCACACACACAGGGCUCUGUUUACUGCAGCGGGCUCAUGACCCGUGGCUACGGCUCAGUCUGGUUCUGAGUUUAGAGUCACACAGGAAAGGCUAAGCCCCUUAGAGCCUCAACGUUACUCUUAUCCCGUGACAGGCUACCAUGUAUCACAGGCUGCAACAUUAUCAAUCAAAUAGCCUCUAUAUUCUAAGUGAUAUUAACAAGUUUCUAGAAGAAAUACUGACUGAGGCGAUGAAUUGCAAUGACAGUACAGUUAGCUUGAUUACGUUGACGGUCAAGUAGCGACAUUUACCAUAACAGCGGCACUAAAAAGGAUUAACUCACAUACAAGCAUACAUCUCUGCUAACUUUGUGUCUGAUUUUUUUUUUAUUUCGCUAAGUUAAUUAACGUUAUGGCUUCACUUUUCAAGUAAAACGUUAACUAACGCUAGCUAAAAUGUUACGUAAACGGUAUUUCAAGUUAGCUAGUGUUUUCUGAGGAAAUAAACGUAACGUUGACAAUUAAAAGUAAGCUACAGUCAUCCAAAAACCAUACCCAAACACUUCUGAAUCGUAAUCUUAAUGGGUGGUAGCAAGCCAAGAGCUCUGCAACAUAACAUUAACAACUAUGGAGAAACCAUUUAUUGCCAGGCAAAAGUCAGUAACAUUAGCUAACGCCAGCUUUGCUAACAGGUUUGUCAGAUAGAUAACCCAAGAUAGAUAACGUUACCCAUGUCAAUAGACAAAAAUAACUAGCUAGCUGGCGGUAACGUUACUGCCGCUCUUCCUUCUCUUUGGGAGAUGGAGGGCGGACCCCAAAACGGAGGCCUCCGUCAAAACACACCGAGGAACGACCACAACCGGCGGACUCACCAGCGAAAGGAGUGAUGAGAAGUUGGAAGCCAAAGAUUCAUCCGCAGCCCGUGCAAUUACUGAGCAGCAAAUAAACCUCGAUCAAAUAAACAUUAGUCAUAUCCGAGCCGAGGCCAGCUUCACUGCGUCCCUUUCCAGCACCGAGCAGUCGUCGCCAUCGCCGCGAAUUCUCCAGCCCAACAACAUACGGUUUUCAACUUUUUUUUCUCUUGUUUUCGCUCAAGUAUAAUCACAGGUGACUAACUACAGAGGAUAACAGGGUCAGGUGAGUACCAUGCUACAUCAGGUUUAGAGAAGGCUAUUGCAGACAAUUCUACAACAUGUAC